rnacentral:rRNA from 1 species
UACGGGGGGAGCAAGCGUUGUUCGGAUUUACUGGGCGUAAAGGGCGCGUAGGCGGUUGAUUGGGUGUGGUGUGAAAGCCUUGGGCUUAACCUGAGAAGUGCAUCGCAAACUAAUUGACUGGAGUAGAUGAGAGGGUGGCGGAAUUUCCGGUGUAGCGGUGAAAUGCGUAGAGAUCGGAAGGAACGUCAAUGGCGAAGGCAGCCACCUGGCAUCAUACUGACGCUGAGGCGCGAGAGCGUGGGGAGCGAACAGG